rnacentral:rRNA from 14 species
ACCUAAAUUAUCCUGAAGCAACAAGCACCAGUGGGAGAGCAGACGGUGAGAGGCAGUUGAGCCAGAAGCUAAGCAGGGUCGGGCCUGGUUAGUACUUGGAUGGGAAACCGCCUGGGAAUAUGGGGUGCAGUAGGGUU